CAGCGACUGAGGCUGGGUCUGCCCACUGACUGACUCACUCCCCCCUCGCCUACGGCUCUUCAAUGUUCCAGCACAGCCCUGCUCAGGACCGAUUUCGCAGAAGCCCAUCACGCAAAAGUAGUUUUGCAGUUGCUGGCCCUGGCUGCUCAGCCAACAGUCCUGAGUCCUGUAGCCCAUUUUUUCACCAGAUGUCCAGGAACUCCAACUCCUAGUGUGGUCCUCGUUGACUGUGGUGAUGACCAAGCUGAAUUUGUACUUCGUGACCAGCUGCCAUUCUUCCCGUUGGAUAGAAGAAAAGCCAAAGGUACAGCUACAUGGAGGAAUCCAUUCCUGCCAAGAGAAGUUCUACUAUUCUGCAGUUUCAGAAGAGAUUCCAGGAGUUCCCUACUGUUGAUGGUUCUGGAUCACUGGAUGACGAGCAGCUGCCACAAACUUUAGAGUUGGAGGAAAAGGAUUACCUAGGCUCUGCAAGGAUCUCUGCCUCUUCCUUGAAGAGGGGGAAGUGAGGGGUGGUGGUGAUAGAAGACUUCCUUCUGUGGAACUGAAGCAGCAAUCUAUUAGGAGUUGCCUUAGGUGAAAUCUAAAUUGAAUUUCUCAAUUAAUCAAUUAAAUGUCCUGCUUGGGAGCACUCCAGGGGCAUCUGGUUGGGCGCUGUUUGAAAAACAAAAUAAUGGCUUAAAGUGGAUCUUGGCCUGAUCCACUAAAAUCAUUCUUAUUUUAUAUUUGGUCAAGUUUGCAUUGCAUUUAACAUACCUGUAUCAAUCUAGAGAAUUUGCUAAACCUUUCAGUCUUUCUUGCUGGGUUGGGUGUCUGACCUGGGAUCACCCACAGAGUAGCUUUUAGGAGGUGCUUGUCCAACCAGAUGAAAUUGGCUGGAAAUGAAUACAGUUUAAGAAAUUGUUGUCCAGAUUUCAAUCCAUUCUUCAGCUUUGUCAGCAAUGCUGGACAGCUGUUCUGUCUGGACAGUGGUCACCAUGGGUCCCAACUGAGGAUCUCCUUGCUUUUUAAAUUUGCCCUAUCUACUCUGGGAGAGCAAGUGCCAGACACUUUCUUUCCAGGAGUGGGUCUGUGAGGAGGUAGAAUUACAUUGAUGAUUCCCCCCACCCCGCUCCCCUGAAUCUCCAGACUCCUACUUCCGCAAUACAGUGGACUGGUAGAAAAAAGAACAAACAAUUUUAUGUGUGUGUGUUUGUUAGAGUUGAGUGCUUCCCUUUUCCUAUAGAAGUGAAACUAGUUUUACUAUCCUUCCUGUUAUUUGGUCUAGAAGGGGAAAUUUGCAGGCAGGACCAUAUUUUCACUGCUUCAUAAAUAAACCUGUAAAAAAAAUAA